rnacentral:rRNA from 1 species
UACGUAUGGUGCAAGCGUUAUCCGGAUUUACUGGGUGUAAAGGGAGCGCAGGCGGAAGGCUAAGUCUGAUGUGAAAGCCCGGGGCUCAACCCCGGUACUGCAUUGGAAACUGGUCAUCUAGAGUGUCGGAGGGGUAAGUGGAAUUCCUAGUGUAGCGGUGAAAUGCGUAGAUAUUAGGAGGAACACCGGUGGCGAAGGCGGCUUACUGGACGAUAACUGACGCUGAGGCUCGAAAGCGUGGGGAGCAAACAGG